rnacentral:rRNA from 1 species
CCCAAACUAUCUCUCAGGAACCACUGAGUGGGAACGGGCACUAAGUAUCCAGCGGGGAAAGAAGACCCUGUAGAGCUUCACUUUGGUCUAGUCUUGUAUAGGCUGGCGGGGACAGACUAGGGGGGAGAGCAAUCGACCAUGAGAAACCACUGCCCUGUUUAGAAUUAUCCUUACCU